rnacentral:tRNA from 1 species
GGCAGUUUAGCUUAACGGUCAGAGCACCAUAAUGCAUAAUCACGGGGGUGUGAGUUCAAAUCUCAUAGCUGGCC